rnacentral:lncRNA from 1 species
UUUCAGGACAAUUUAAGGACAACUGCCAGUGAAAUCCUCAAGUUCUAAAGCAUAAGAUUGAGAAUGGAAAUGAGGAAUAUGGCAAAGAGACAACAACCUGACAAAAGAACAGAACACAGCAGUUAAACUUUCUAGGUGAUAAUAUUCAGUAGCUCAAGAAAGAUCUUGAUUUUUUCAAAGAGUUGCAAUACCUGAUUUAAUUGGUUAUUGUCCGUGAUUUUUUGUUUUUC